UACGGGGGGGGCAAGCGUUGUUCGGAAUUACUGGGCGUAAAGGGCUCGUAGGCGGCCAACUAAGUCGGACGUGAAAUCCCUCGGCUUAACCGGGGAACGGCGUCCGAUACUGGAUGGCUUGAGUUUGGGAGAGGGAUGCGGAAUUCCCGGUGUAGCGGCGAAAUGCGCAGAUAUCGGGAGGAACACCGGUGGCGAAGGCGGUUCUCUGGGCCUUACCUGACGCUGAGGAGCGAAAGCGUGGGGAGCGAACAGG
rnacentral:rRNA from 1 species